GUUCAUUGGUCUUUUUGCAUUGGAAGCUCUUUCUGUCUCUACUCGCGCGCGCACCUGGUAACCUCGUACAGUCAUGCUCAUACCCCCCACAAUUCCGCGUAUCUCUGGUUUGUUAAUUAAUUUUCACCCACUUUUUCCUUCCUUUGACCACGGAACGUUUACUUAGAAGUUAGAAUGAUGAAUAGUAGAAUAUAUAAAACGCUACGAUCUCAGACUUGUACACU
rnacentral:lncRNA from 1 species